AUCGCUUCUCGGCCUUUUGGCUCAGAUCAAGCUUGGUAUCUGUUCUUAUCAGUUUAAUAUCUGAUACGUCCCCCAUCGGGGGACUACAUA
rnacentral:snRNA from 8 species